UACGGAGGGGGCUAGCGUUGUUCGGAAUUACUGGGCGUAAAGCGCACGUAGGCGGCUUUAUAAGUCAGAGGUGAAAGCCCGGAGCUCAACUCCGGAACUGCCUUUGAGACUGUAUCGCUUGAACACGGGAGAGGUGAGUGGAAUUCCGAGUGUAGAGGUGAAAUUCGUAAGAUAUUCGGAAGAACACCAGUGGCGAAAGGCGGCUCACUGGAC
rnacentral:rRNA from 1 species